rnacentral:rRNA from 1 species
CUCAGGAUGAACGCUGGCGGCGUGCCUAAUACAUGCAAGUCGAGCGAACAGAUAAGGAGCUUGCUCCUUUGACGUUAGCGGCGGACGGGUGAGUAACACGUGGGUAACCUACCUAUAAGACUGGAAUAACUCCGGGAAACCGGGGCUAAUGCCGGAUAACAUGUUGAACCGCAUGGUUCUACAGUGAAAGACGGUCUUGCUGUCACUUAUAGAUGGACCCGCGCCGUAUUAGCUAGUUGGUGGGGUAACGGCCUACCAAGGCGACGAUACGUAGCCGACCUGAGAGGGUGAUCGGCCACACUGGAACUGAGACACGGUCCAGACUCCUACGGGAGGCAGCAGUAGGGAAUCUUCCGCAAUGGGCGAAAGCCUGACGGAGCAACGCCGCGUGAGUGAUGAAGGUCUUCGGAUCGUAAAGCUCUGUUGUUAGGGAAGAACAAAUGUGUAAGUAACUGUGCACAUCUGACGGUA